rnacentral:rRNA from 3 species
UCGGGUUGUAAAGCACUUUCAGCGAGGAGGAAGGCAGUCGUGUUAAUAGCACGAUUGAUUGACGUUACUCGCAGAAGAAGCACCGGCUAACUCCGUGCCAGCAGCCGCGGUAAUACGGAGGGUGCAAGCGUUAAUCGGAAUUACUGGGCGUAAAGCGCACGCAGGCGGUUUGUUAAGUCAGAUGUGAAAUCCCCGCGCUUAACGUGGGAACUGCAUUUGAAACUGGCAAG